ACCGCACCCCUGCCUGUAGCCUUUCAAUCUUUGGGUAUUGUCUUUUUAAAAGAUUUAGGGUUUCAGGUUCAUUGAAACAAAAGGCAAAAGCUCUUUAUUGUUUUUGAUGAGCGAAUCUGUGUGUGUUUAUUGAAUAGAGAUUGAAGCUUCGCAAUCUGGUCAGUGCGGAUAGAAUCCGUUCCCACAUGACUCGUUCCCUUGAAGCGACAUUCAUUGUGUUGCUUUGGUCUUCUCUCUCCCUAAUCAUUUUCUCUUUGAUUCUUUCGGGGGAACACUUGGGCAACUAUAUUUUCUUUAUUUCUUUCUUUUUAUAAAGAUCUGACUCUCUUUUGAGGAAGAACGGUGAUGAGUUAUUAACAGACCUGUAAUGAAUUGCGGAUAUGAUCGCAGUUUAUUAUGAACAUCUAAGGGACUGAGUUCUUCCAUCAUCCCCUCCAUUUCUAGUUUCCAUUUGUACUUAUUUAAGUAAUUCUUGUGGCUUCUGUAAUUUAUCUUUUUAAAAUCCGAAAAUUUUAAUAAAAUAUUUUCGUGAUGGAAAGAAGCCUAAACAGAAUUGUUCUCCUCGCUAUCCGGUGCUUCAAAUUUUAUGUGGCAUUUGGACGUCGGGGAACUACAUCUUUUCUUUUUCCUCUUAAAAUGAUUGGUUUUACCAAUUUUGAAGGCCUUGUGUAAUCAAAUAAAAGAGAAUCAUGAAGGUUAAAAAUCAAAUCCUAGAUUCAUUGGAGACUGGAUAAGAACAGUCAGUGCACUGACUAACAAUACAAACUUCCAUCUUAUUCCAAAUUUGAACUGAAUUUUAUUUCAUGUAAUCAUAAUUUUAAAAAUUCUCAUUUUUAAAGUAAGACUUAUUUUCUAUUUAUUUGAUUUAUAAAAAUCUUCAUAAAAAAAUUAAAAUUUAUCAAAUUAUGUUUUAAAAUGAGAUGAAUAUUAUUUAAAUAAAAUAAGUUCAAAAUUCGAUAUUCAUACCUAUUAUGAACAAUUUGAUUACGUUUCAAAAAGAAAAGGUUGAUUUAUUUUUUUUGAUAAAAUUUAUAAUGGGCUUUAUUGACCUUCUUUGCCGUGGUGAAAAUUUAAUUGAUUUAGGGUUUAUAUGAAAAAAAUUUAUCAUAUAUAUGUUUGAAGUUUAAGUUUCAUUAAUCUAGAGUUUUAAAUUUUAAUUUUAUAUAUGAAAAUUUUUAUAAAUUAUUUAUAUAAUAUUCAUUUUAUGUUAGGAGUUAAUAGUUAACUGUUAAAUUAAAUAGUAAAAGGGAUUAAUUGAUGAAUUUUGGAAGAGCUCAAUUAGAUACAAAAAUAUUUAAAGUCCUUAAUAGAUUCUUUAGGAUCAUUUUGAGGAGUUUCUCAUACCAUUAAAGUUGUAUUACAUUAAAAUUUGUGUUAUGUUAUUGUUGUUUGUUCAUGUAGUUUGAUUUUCUUUAUGUUGGGCGAGUAUUUUUAUUAUUUUUAAUUCACGAUACAAUAAGUGAAUCACACUUUAUUACUCUCAAAGUAUAGAUACCACCUCUAAUUAUGAUUUUGCUUGCACUUUAUUUUUAUUCUGCGUUAAUUAAUUAAAUUUGCGUGUUUGGUUUUAAGUGAUUGUGAUCUGUUUUGUAAUUAUUAAUUGAGUUUAUAGUGAUUUGAAUGUCUGUAAUUGUGAAUAAAGAAAAAAAAAAGAUAUGAAUAAAAGUGGAUUACAAAGAAUAAAUUGAGAUAUCCAUGGUGGUAGAGAGCAAACAAAAGAAUUAGAUAUAAAAAGAAGAAGGUAAUUUCUAAACCUAAUAUGUGUUUUGAUGUUUCAUAAUUAAAAUUUUCUAAAAUAUCAAGAAGUAGAUUUCAUCAUUGUUACAUACAAAAUAUCCUCUAUGCAUUACUUUCGACAGGAGAGGAGAAUAGUGGUGUUGAAGGAAACAAAUCAUGUUCUCUUUCCCAUGUUCUUCAAGGCUGACGUUCAUUCUGUUAAAACCAUUCUACCAGGUUGGCUAAUUUUGACAAAUUGGAGCUUUUGGUCGAAAAAAACUUUUUUAGGACAAAAAAACAAAA
rnacentral:lncRNA from 1 species